GAUGAACGCUGGCGGCGUGCCUAAUACAUGCAAGUCGAGCGAACAGAUGAGGAGCUUGCUCCUCUGACGUUAGCGGCGGACGGGUGAGUAACACGUGGAUAACCUACCUAUAAGACUGGGAUAACUUCGGGAAACCGGAGCUAAUACCGGAUAAUAUAUUGAACCGCAUGGUUCAUUGUUGAAAACCGGUUUUCCUUUAACUAUUGGAUGAUCCCGCGCCGCAUUAGCUAGUUGGUAAGGUAACGGCUUACCAAGGCAACGAUGCGUAGCCGACCUGAGAGGGUGAUCGGCCACACUGGAACUGAGACACGGUCCAGACUCCUACGGGAGGCAGCAGUAGGGAAUCUUCCGCAAUGGGCGAAAGCCUGACGGAGCAACGCCGCGUGAGUGAUGAAGGUCUUCGGAUCGUAAAACUCUGUUAUUAGGGAAGAACAAAUGUGUAAGUAACUAUGCACGUCUUGACGGUACCUAAUCAGAAAGCCACGGCUAACUACGUG
rnacentral:rRNA from 1 species